CGACCGGCACACCGACAGACACGCCGACCCACCGGCACAGCGACCGGCACACCGACGGCCACCAGAGCCCGCUGGCAGCGGUGGACAGUGCCUUCCUUCCCAACAGAAGCAGCUCCUCCAGCUUAGAAAGCAGUAACCACAGAGGUUUUCCUCUACCCAACACUAUCACUGGCUUCCUGUAUCCGUAUGGAGAAAGGGCUGCUGCGUUACUUGUCCUUCACAAGCAGCUGGAGAAGAGAAUUCACAGCCUAAAAGGGUUUUUGUCACCAGCAGAAUGUCAGUUUUUGGUGUCUGACACCAUCAUCACACAGACCAUUUGGGGAAAAUAACUGAAAUCCAAACAAACAGGACUAUGCCAAAAAAAGGCAGGGAUAAUAUGCCUGCAGUGGUGGGAAACCAGCGCUGCCCUCUGCCUACCUGCCACAGAUGCAGGAGCAGGGCUUGGUUUGGGGUGAAAAAAAGCAUCCCCUGGACCAGGUACCACAGAACCACGAGCUUCCCUCGCCAGGUGAGACAAUGGAUCCAGAGCUCCUGGUUGUGUUUCUGUCUGUCUGCUUAGUCCUGACUCCUGACUAAUCUUCUAUAUAUAGAUUCUGUUUGUUACGUUACUAUAUAAUAUCCUAUUUAUAUAGGUUUCUAUUUUAAGGGUUCUGAGAGGCCACAGAGGUUCUGCCCAGCCUGCCUUUCCCCACUUUAUUGGCCACACACAAACCCAGGCAGCUGGGUUAGUGCAGUUUGAGCCCAACCAAGUUCCUGACUCCUGGGUGCCUCCAGCCCAGCACGAAAUUUUGUCUGCUUGGGACAAGUGGCCAAGAGCCAGGUAAGAGGCAGCCGUGGUGUGGGAGCCCAUGGCUGCAAGUGCUGGGAAUGUGGAGGGAACCAAAGAGGUCACUGCACGCUCCAGGCAGGGCUCGUUAGCGCUGCACUGCGUGUGGAACCUGAGCUGCUAAUCGAGCAUCACCACCCCACUGGCAUGGAACUGGAGCACGGCAACAGGAUGUGGUCAAACACAUUGUUUUAUAAAAAAAUGCACAUUUUUUGUAAAAACUCUGCGUCCUUCCCCUCCUCUGUGAGAGGUGCCCUGAGCUUUGCUGACGCACACCAGCCCAUCUCGGUGCGACAGCGAGGAUGUGGCACCCACAGUCCCAUUACUCUGAAAUGCAUCAAUAUGCUGUGUUCGAGACAAAAACCCAGAUCAUCUUGGUCUAGAAUGUGAAAUUUUACCAGUUCCAGCUAUUUUUUUUCAGGAGAAGCCGGGGCUGAGCUGCAUUGCCGUGAGGGUCCUGCCUGCCAGUGCUCUGCUGUCCCCCGCUGUGCUCCAGGAGAAGCACCCACACAGGGCAGAGCCACACGCUGGCACUGCCACGGAACAACCCUCCGUGCUCAGAAGCUCACUUUAAAAAACACAGAUUGUUCUAAAAUAAUCCUUCCUCGGCAUCACUGGGCUGUUAUUCCAGCCAGGCCUGGCAAUCCCUGCCAGUGUCACUGUGUUGGUGAGGCAGCGCAGGAGGGCACGGGGGGGAAGCAGCUUCUCGAGGGUCAGCCAGAGAUGGACACAACCCAAACCUCCCAACUCCCACUUAGACACAUUUUACCUCUCAGCUCCCUUUUUUACUGUCUUCCUUGGUGGGUGGGGUGAAAAAACAACCCUCCAGACCCCGUGUGUGUUGCUCUCUCCAGGGCUGGACGUGGCUCCAGAGCCUGGCACAGGGCAUCAUCCGCACUGGGAACGCAACCCCACAGCAGCAUUAUCAUUCCAAAGUGGCAAAAACAUCACGCCAAAGGCUGCUCACCCCUGGCUUUGUUGUGCCACGGUCUGAAUCAGCCCUUUUCCUGCUGGAUGCCGUCAGUUGUGUGUUGGUCUCCUGGCAGCUGGCUGGGAACAUCCUGCACUACAGCCGCUCACGUCAGCUGCUCCCAGGAACACGCUCGGGGCCGCACACCCAGCCUGGCUCAUCAGCCAGUGGGAGCCACUCCCUGCUCCUCUCCCUACCCACGACCCUUCUCAAGUCACUGGGUUUGUCACUCAUGAGUUACUGGGGACUGAGGGCUCUGCGUCAGCCCAGUUCUGGUGUGCUCCUCUCAUCUCUCUCUAUCCACAGGUGGAAAUGUCUCCAGAGAGCAGAGGCCGAGGCACCCACAAACCAGCGUAACCACGGAGGCACCGGAGGCUUUUCCUUACAAACAAGUAAACCUUGUCCCUUAUUUAUCUGCACUUCCUUUAGGGGCAACCCCAAACCCUAGUGAACAGAUUCACAAAGUAUCUUUCUCCUGCCUGGGAAACGUCACCAUUUUCACUGAAGCCAAGGAGCUGUUCUGUGCUGGUGGUGUCGUGUACGUAUGAAAACGGAAACUUCCCGAGAUGUUCAGACUCGGAAACUGAGAGUCUGCAGAACUCCCAGCCAAUGUGGGUUUUUUCAGUCACUGAAAUAAAAUCUACAUUGCUGCAAUUAGUUAAUAUUUGUAAAGCCCCUAAGAUUGCAGAAUAAAUGGCCGAAGGAAAUUCUCAUGGUUAUUAGAUAAAUGUGUUAAUAAUAACGGCGAUGGCUGGUGAGGACACGUCGCUCCUAAUGAUGUACAAUUUAUUUCCCUAAGACUGUACUAAUAAACAAAACUUGCUUUUAAAA